rnacentral:rRNA from 1 species
GAUGAACGCUGGCGGCGUGCCUAAUACAUGCAAGUCGAGCGAACAGACGAGGAGCUUGCUCCUUUGACGUUAGCGGCGGACGGGUGAGUAACACGUAGGUAACCUACCUAUAAGACUGGGAUAACUUCGGGAAACCGGAGCUAAUACCGGAUAAUAUUUCGAACCGCAUGGUUCGAUAGUGAAAGAUGGCUUUGCUAUCACUUAUAGAUGGACCUGCGCCGUAUUAGCUAGUUGGUAAGGUAACGGCUUACCAAGGCAACGAUACGUAGCCGACCUGAGAGGGGGAUCGGCCACACUGGAACUGAGACACGGUCCAGACUCCUACGGGAGGCAGCAGUAGGGAAUCUUCGGCAAUGGGCGAAAGCCUGACGCAGCAACGCCGCGUGAGUGAUGAAGGCCUUCGGGUCGUAAAGCUCUGUUAUUAGGGAAGAACAACUGUGUGAGUAGCUGAACACGGCUUGACGGUACCUGAUCAGAAAGCCACGGCUAACUACGUG